GUGCUAAAUAAGCUCGAUUAUGGGAAAUAAAGUCCGGGGGUGCCACCAAAUAUAGGUGCAAUAGUCCCUUGCAGCAUGGGUGGAGAUUAAUAGAGCCAGGAAGAAUCAUCGCGCAUUAUGAGUCCUGUAUCUUUAGACACGUGAUUGGUGUAGGGGAGAGAUAAUACAAAACUGUUUGUUAGAAAAGGCAGUCAGGAAGGAGCAAGCUAGGGGUUCACAUACAGGCAGGGUCGAGAUUCCAAGCUCCAAUGAGCAGGAUAGUAAAGUAUGUUGCAGCUCAAUAAAACUUGAUUGUUGGUGGUUGUAGACUGUUGCGGAUAUGCCAAGCCUUUAUGGCAAGGAAAUCAUACGAUUCGUCCGCUUUAGAAUAUGUAUUAGAUCUAAACACAGUGGGAUAUGUGGGUAAACAUUUUACCUAGGGGAAAGCAGAUGUGUCCAGGCAGGUUUGUCCGGUAUUCAUUACCGCGGGAUAAUAGAUCAUGGCACUCAUGUUGUUCUUGGUUUAGGAAUACAGUGUUGAGUGAUAUGAACACUCAGGGGCAACAGUACUCAGCGCUCGCAUGUGAAAGACAGCGCAGUGAAUAGUAAUCUGUCUAANUAGAAGNNGANNNNAAAAGUUGNNNNCAUUANUCAAGANCGAAAGUUNGGGGAUCAAAGACGAUCAGAUACCGU
rnacentral:rRNA from 1 species